rnacentral:tRNA from 5 species
GCCGGAAUAGCUCAGUCGGUAGAGCAGAGGACUGAAAAUCCUCGUGUC